UCACACACUUUGUGUGAAUCAAACUUAUGAUUCCUUGUUCUAUAACUGAGACGAAAAAAAACUUAGAGCAAAAAAAGACAAAUAAAGUUGCGGCUACUAUUGUUCUACAAUAAUGCUGAAGACACCUCCAUCGUUAUCUAUUUCCAGUAGCGGGAAAAAUGCGAAAAACUUCAUUUCCACUCAAUUCUGAGUCAUUUUUGCUCGCAACUUUAUUUGUCUCUUUUUUGCUCCAAGUUUUUUUCCGUCUCAGUUAUGGAUAAAGAUCUCAUAAGUUGUUCUUUCAUUCUAUGGGUGUCAUAUAUGUAUGUAUGUACCUAGCUUUCUCAGUGGUUUAACGUGAAAACUGUACCUACGAAUUUAACGAUUCAAUGAGUAUGAUACUUUUUUGAAAACGAUUCAGAUGGAAUAGAAUGUGAUAAUUUCAGCAACCAAUAAUUCAAGAAGAUAUAAUGGUACAUCUUAUUACGAAACUGAUGAUCCACAUGUGCAGCGCAUCCAUUUAGCUGAUGACAUACAAUGAGAUGAUAUAUAUGAAGUGCAGUUUACUGAUCCAGAACUUUCUGCGAGAGAAACCUUUUGUAAAAGCAUCUCUACCAAAAUCUCUGAGUCUGGAGUUUCGGGAGCAUAUCCGGUGGCAAAUAUAAAUCCAAACCUAUUGAAAUCUUUGGCUGGUUAAAAAGAAGCAGAAUUCCACUUUGAAUGGAAGUCAUAAUAUGAAAGGGAUCUAUGAUUCAAUACUACUUCCUGCAAUUUUAUGAAAUAAUCUUAAUUUUUUAUGGAUCAUCUGUGAAUUUUACAUA